rnacentral:rRNA from 1 species
GACGAACGCUGGCGGCGUGCCUAAUACAUGCAAGUAGAACGCUGAAGGAGGAGCUUGCUCUUCUGGAUGAGUUGCGAACGGGUGAGUAACGCGUAGGUAACCUGCCUGGUAGCGGGGGAUAACUAUUGGAAACGAUAGCUAAUACCGCAUAACAGUAGAUGUUGCAUGACAUUUGCUUAAAAGGUGCAAUUGCACCACUACCAGAUGGACCUGCGUUGUAUUAGCUAGUUGGUGGGGUAACGGCUCACCAAGGCGACGAUACAUAGCCGACCUGAGAGGGUGAUCGGCCACACUGGGACUGAGACACGGCCCAGACUCCUACGGGAGGCAGCAGUAGGGAAUCUUCGGCAAUGGACGGAAGUCUGACCGAGCAACGCCGCGUGAGUGAAGAAGGUUUUCGGAUCGUAAAGCUCUGUUGUAAGAGAAGAACGAGUGUGAGAGUGGAAAGUUCACACUGUGACGGUAGCUUACCAGAAAGGGACGGCUAACUACGUGCCAGCAGCCGCGGUAAUACGUAGGUCCCGAGCGUUGUCCGGAUUUAUUGGGCGUAAAGCGAGCGCAGGCGGUUAGAUAAGUCUGAAGUUAAAGGCUGUGGCUUAACCAUAGUACGCUUUGGAAACUGUUUAACUUGAGUGCAAGAGGGGAGAGUGGAAUUCCAUGUGUAGCGGUGAAAUGCGUAGAUAUAUGGAGGAACACCGGUGGCGAAAGCGGCUCUCUGGCUUGUAACUGACGC